rnacentral:tRNA from 1 species
GGGCCUUUAACUCAGUGGUAGAGUGCUCGCUUUGCAUGCGAGAAGGCGUGGGUUCAAUCCCCACAAGGUCCA